GGUUGGGGGGGGAUUUAAAUUUAAAAAAAGUUAAUGUGUGUGUGUGUUUGUGUCUGACUGUGUGUGUUUGUGAGUGUGUGUGUGUGUGUUUGUGUCUGUGUUUGUGUCUGUGUAUGUGUUUGUGUCUGUGUGUGUGUCUGACUGUGUGUGUGUGUGUGUGUUUGUGUCUGACUGUGUUUGUGUCUGUGUAUGUGUCUGACUGUGUGUGUGUGUGUGUUU